CUCCCACGAGUACCAGCACCACUGCUCCCACCAGCACCAGUGCCUCUGCUCCCAUGAGUACCAGCAACACUGCUACCACAAGCACUGAGAUGCCCGGACCUACUAGUACAAUAACAACUUCUCCCUUGAGCACCAGCACCGCUGCUACUACAAGCCCUGAGACAUCCGGACUCAUGAGCACGAGCGCAAUUGCUACCAUAACUACAAGCACCACUGUUCCCACCAGCACCAGCCCCACUGCUCCAGUGAGCACCAGCACCACUGCAACCACAAGCACCAGCACCACUGCUCCCACAAGCACCAGCACCACUGCUCCAAUCAGCACUGAGACAACAGGACCUACGAGCACUAGCACCACUGCUCCCACGAGCAGCAGCACCACUACUCCCACUAGCACCAGCACCACUGCUACCACAAACAGUGAGAUGUCCGGACAAACGAGUACAAUAGCUACUUCUCACUUAAGCACUAGCUCCACUGCUAGCACAAGCACCAAAACCACUGCUCCCGUGACUAGCAGCACAACUUCUCCCAUGAGCACGAGCACCACUGCUCCCACGAGCACCAGCACCACUGCUCCCGUGAGUACCACCAACACUACAACCAUGAGCACCAGCGCCACUGCUCCCACGAGCAGCAGCACCACUGCUCCCACGAGCACCAGCGCCACUGCUCCCACCAGCACUAGCCCUACUGCUACCACAAGCACUCAGACGUCCGGACCCACGAGUUCAAUUCCUACUUCUCCAUUUAGCACCAGCACCACUGCGACAACGGUCACCAGCACCACUGCUCCAAUCAGCACUGAGACAACAGGACCUACGAGCAGCACCAGCACCACUGCUCCCGUGAGCACCGCUAUUGCCAUGAGCACCAGCACCACUGUUCCCACGAGCGCCGCUAUUGCCAUUAGCACCAGCACCACUGCUCCCACCAGCACCAGCACCACUGCUACCACAAGCACUGAGGCGUCUGAACUCAUGAGUACAAUAACUCCAUCUCCCUUGAGCACCAGCACUGCUGCUACCACAAGCACCAGCGCCACUGCUCCCACGAUCACUGGCACUACCACGUCCAUGAUCAGCAGCACCACCAGACAAACAGCCACUACCACUAACAACCAGCCAAGCAGCACCACCACUCUCCUCACCACCAGCACUACCAUGCUCUCCAAGACCACCACCACUCUGCCAACCACCACGCUCCCCACUACCACCAGCCAGCCAAGCACCACCCAGCCAAACACCAGGACCACCGUGCUCUCCACCAUGAGCACCACCUCUGCUCAGCCAACCAAUGCCACCGUCACACUCCCCACCUCCACCACCCACUCAACAACCACAGCCACCAUGCACCCAACCACCACCAUUACCACCACAACGACCACCAUCAAGACAACGACCACCACCACCACACGUGCAACUACCACCACUACUACCACCAGGACCACCACGAGCCCAACCACCACCACCACCCCAGGUACCACCCCUCCCACCCUUAGCUGCACCCAGAACAGCUUCCUCACCCCACACCUCCCAGUCCCAUCUCACACUGUCUUUUCCAGGGCAAUGCGAAAAUGGAGGCACUUGGGUCAACGGCCAAUGUGUGUGUCCCCCGGGAUACACGGGCGCCAACUGCAUUUCCAUCGAGAGCAGCAUCGAGACCAAAGCUGGUAGGGAGCCCUCUGCGCCCACCUCC
rnacentral:lncRNA from 1 species